rnacentral:tRNA from 3 species
GGAGAGGUGUCCGAGUGGUUUAAGGAGCACGCCUGGAGAGCGUGUAAUCCGAAAGGGUUCGGGGGUUCGAAUCCCCCCCUCUCCG